rnacentral:rRNA from 1 species
GCAGUCGAGCGAACAGAAAGGAGCUUGCUCCUUUGACGUUAGCGGCGGACGGGUGAGUAACACGUGGGCAACCUACCCUAUAGUUUGGGAUAACUCCGGGAAACCGGGGCUAAUACCGAAUAAUCUCUUUUGCUUCAUGGUAAAAGACUGAAAGACGGUUUCGGCUGUCGCUAUAGGAUGGGCCCGCGGCGCAUUAGCUAGUUGGUGAGGUAACGGCUCACCAAGGCGACGAUGCGUAGCCGACCUGAGAGGGUGAUCGGCCACACUGGGACUGAGACACGGCCCAGACUCCUACGGGAGGCAGCAGUAGGGAAUCUUCCACAAUGGGCGAAAGCCUGAUGGAGCAACGCCGCGUGAGUGAAGAAGGUUUUCGGAUCGUAAAACUCUGUUGUAAGGGAAGAACAAGUACAGUAGUAACUGGCUGUACCUUGACGGUACCUUAUUAGAAAGCCACGGCUAACUACGUGCCAGCAGCCGCGGUAAUACGUAGGUGGCAAGCGUUGUCCGGAAUUAUUGGGCGUAAAGCGCGCGCAGGCGGCCUUUUAAGUCUGAUGUGAAAGCCCCCGGCUCAACCGGGGAGGGCCAUUGGAAACUGGAAGGCUUGAGUACAGAAGAGAAGAGUGGAAUUCCACGUGUAGCGGUGAAAUGCGUAGAGAUGUGGAGGAACACCAGUGGCGAAGGCGACUCUUUGGUCUGUAACUGACGCUGAGGCGCGAAAGCGUGGGGAGCAAACAGGAUUAGAUACCCUGGUAGUCCACGCCGUAAACGAUGAGUGCUAGGUGUUGGGGGGUUUCCGCCCCUCAGUGCUGAAGCUAACGCAUUAAGCACUCCGCCUGGGGAGUACGGCCGCA